AUGCUGUCUUCGGAUUGUAAAAUAUUUUUGUUAUUACAAUACUUUUUAUAUUCUUCUAAAGCUAAAAUUUAUAUCCUAAUUAUCGUCCCCUCUUCAAAAAAAAAUUAUUGCUAAAACCAAUUGGAAGCUUUUUGACCUGAACGGCCCUAACCCCUAAAGCCCAAAUGCAUAUCAGGCUGAGGUGAGGUAGAGUGGUAAAAUAUAAACCAAUUUGGGUUCACAACAAAGCCUGUUAGACCAGAAACUCCCGUUAAAACAAAACACCGACUAAAAAACUUUGUUCCACUGAUACCCCCACAUGUCUGCAUCAUCUGAUUAAAUAUUUUCAACGACCCAAAAUCACGGCUCUGUCUUGAUUUGCUCAUCAUUUCAUUACAUUACCUUAUCGAUUCAUCUUGCCUUCUUCCUAAUUUCUUACCAUCUUAAAAUUUCUUUCCAUCUACUAUACGAACAAACAAUGUCAAACUAUGGCCAUCAGUAUCAAAAGAAAGAAAGAAACAAAGAAAACUUGAGCAUGAUGGAGAUCUCGGCAACUGCCAUAGCCCCUUUACUCCUUCGAAAUAUGGUUACUUCCAUAUUUAUUUAUGCCGACAAAUUCCUCUUGACUUUGGCAGAAAAAUACAAGCUUCUUGAAAUAAUUCGAUAUCUUGUAAUCACUUCCUUUCUCUUCUUUCUACGCUUAUUUCCUUCUCUUUUCCCUUCUGAUUUACAAUCUCAACAAUCCCACGAUCACAAGUUUAAGCCCCCCCAAAACGAUAGCUAUGUCGUUGCUUCUGGGGUUGGCGACUCGGGAAUCGCUCGUGCGCUUUCACAGCUACUAUCUAGCAUUACUGACAUUCCUGUUAGCUCGAGAAAGUAUGAAAUUGUUCGAUCUUUAGCGGAAAGACUUAUAGAAGAGAAUAAUAGGGAAGACAUCGAAGCGUUACGUGAAGUCAACCGUAAAGUUUUGUCUGCGGCUUUGUCGAGGACUCUUUGCCAGCUUGAAGCCGCAAUGGUUGAAUUGGGGCAAGACAGGGUCGGUCAUGAUGGUGCGGGACCUGGUCCCGUUCAGUAUCGGUUGAACAGGGUUUUACGGGCGGUUCGAUCAGUUGGGGAUGGGGUGUGGACUAGGGUAGGGAGGGUGAGAGAGGAUGUGAACCGAUCAGGGAAUUCGGCUGAGAAACUGGCUGCUGAGCUGCUCUGGUUGGCGCAGAAAUUGGCUGCUUGUGGAUUUGAGGAAGAGGCCGUUGAGAGAUGGGCAUCGGCUUCAAAUUUGGCUUGGCUUUCUCUUUUGGCUGGGCCACGUCUUCAAGCUUCCCUGGUUAAGGUUACGGAUUUGCAUGAACUGGAGCCUGGAAUAUUUUUUGUUGCUCAAGUUUCAGCUGUUGAUGUCAAUAUGGUUAAAAGAAGGGUUACCCCAGAAAUCUCCCAGACCAAAAAAGACAAAAUGAUUACCCCAUAUGGACGUAAAAGACGUAAAAAGCGUAUGCCUAAGUCUUAGUUCCUUCACCUAUUCUUUAGGCUGAAAGUGCCAACGGAUGUAAUAUUCUUCGAGCAGGGACUUAUGGCUUGGUUUAUUUUAUGCCAAAUUCGAACCCAUAUUUCGGUGUGGGAUAUCGCAUUUAUGAUAUAUAGCUCUAGGUGGAGAUGGCCUGCUGCUUAUCCGUACUUGACAUUUAAGCAUAUAAACUAAGAUAACUACAAAUUAUUACUAGAAAUUUUCUGUAAUCCCAAAAUUCAAUUAUUGUUAUUGUAAAACCCUUAUUAAGGAAAUAUUCGAGGUCUUCAACUAGCAGUAGACGUGUCUCUUUGGUAAUCUCAUGCGCUCUGACAUUGCUCCAAGUGCAAAGAGAUUGCGAAUGAGGUCUAAUAGACUUGCGUAAGUAUUUGCCUUCAUAACUGAAACUUUUCUAAGAGGAAUUGCUAAAUAAGUAGUCUUAUAAGCUAUCAAAUUUAAUGGGCAGUUUCUUCAUUCCAUCCUCUUUCAAAAUAUCUGCAAUCAACACCAAUUAUACAUAUUUGCUAAAUCAUGACAGCAAGGAUCAUGAUUUAUGCAUCGGCAGUCUUCAUUUUGAUCUUUCAAUAGGAUAAGGACUCAAAAGAACGUAUAUGCUUAAUUUGAUAAAUUUGGGAGGUUCUAGUUGAAAUUUGUAAUUGCCACAGUUAUUUAUUCAACAGAAACAUCUUUCGGCGUCAAACAGAGUUUCUUCUGUGAAUGUAUUUCGAUUCUUGAAAAUAAAAGAUUGAUGUUGUUCUCUACUUUUGCUUAAUUAUUCAA